UACGGGGGGGGCAAGCGUUGUUCGGAAUUACUGGGCGUAAAGGGCUCGUAGGUGGCCAACUAAGUCAGACGUGAAAUCCCUCGGCUUAACCGGGGAACUGCGUCUGAUACUGGAUGGCUUGAGUUCGGGAGAGGGAUGCGGAAUUCCAGGUGUAGCGGUGAAAUGCGUAGAUAUCUGGAGGAACACCGGUGGCGAAGGCAGCUCGCUGGGACGGUACUGACGCUGAGGCGCGAAAGCGUGGGGGAGCGAAACAGG
rnacentral:rRNA from 1 species